rnacentral:piRNA from 1 species
UNCAGCAGUAGUGGAGGACGUGUCCUGGC